AAAGUCGUAACAAGGUUUCCGUAGGUGAACCUGCGGAAGGAUCAUUACAAAUCCGAAGAAAUUCAUACUAUGUUGCACACUAUCCGAAGGAUAGGGGGCAAGAUAGUGUGUAUCGUAUAGGGAGAGAGGGGAGUGCGCAUUGGGUUCGUGUGUCUAUCACACUAUCCACUUUACUCACUCCUCGCUUCACCCUCACCUUACACCUAACCCUACCCCCAUCUGAUGAUAAACCCCACUCUUUAACCCAAAUUAUCCUUUUAAUCAAAGAAAUAACUUGUAACAAUGGAUCUCUAGGCUCUU
rnacentral:misc_RNA from 1 species